rnacentral:rRNA from 1 species
CGCUUUCGGAUUGGUCUGCGGCCUAUCAGCUUGUUGGUGAGGUAACGGCUCACCAAGGCUCUGACGGGUAGGGGGCAUGAGAGUGCGAGCCCCAACAAAGGCACUGCGACACGGGCCUUACUCCUACGGGAGGCUGCAGUCGAGAAUAUUCGGCAAUGGGCGAAAGCCUGACCGAGCGACGCCGCGUGCAGGAAGACGCUCUUCGGAGUGUAAACUGCUUUUAUGGGGGGACAAGUCCCGCUUUAGCGGGAUUGAGUGUACCCCAAGAAUAAGAGGGUCCUAAUUCUGUGCCAGCAGGAGCGGUAAUACAGAACCCUCGAGCGUUAUCCGGAUUUAUUGGGCGUAAAGGGUCCGUAGGCGGUCAGAUAAGUCUUUGGUUAAACCCACAGCUCAACUGCGGGACUGCCAAAGAUACUACCUGACUAGAGGGCGCUAGAGGCUAAUGGAACGGUCGGUGUAGGGGUGAUAUCCGUUGAUAUCGACCGGAACACCAAAAGCGAAGGCAUUCAGCUGGGGCGACCCUGACGCUAAAGGACGAAAGCGUGGGUAGCGAAAAGAAUUAGAUACUCUUGUAGUCCACGCCGUAAACGAUGGAUACUAGCUAUGUGAAGUGUCGACCCUUCACGUGGCGAAGCUAACGCGUUAAGUAUCCCGCCUGGGAAGUACGGCCGCAAGGCUAAAACUCAAAGGAAUAGACGGGGCUUCACACAAGCGGUGGACCAUGUGGCUUAAUUCGACGAUAAGCGAGGAACCUUACCAGGACUUGACAUUCUGCUGAACAUCCACAGAAACGUGGACUCCUCACAAGGCAGCAGAACAGGUGUUGCACGGCUGUCGUCAGCAUGUGCUUUGAAGUGCACCCUUUAAUGGGGUAACAUGCGCAACCCUCACGCUGUGUUUCAUGUGUCACAGCGAACUGCCCGAGAUAAUCGGGAGGAAGGUGAGGAUGACGCCAAGUCAGCGUGGCCCUUUGACGUCCUGGGCUGCACACGUGGUACAAUGGGGCCGACAAUGGGCAAAGCCGCAAGGCAGAGGUAAUCCUAUCAAACGGUCUCUUAGUCCGGAUUGGGGUCUGCAAUUCGACCUCAUGAAGCCGGAAUCGCUAGUAAUCGCGCAUCAGCCAUGGCGCGAUGAAUAUGUUUCUGAGGCUUGUACUCACCGCCCGUCACACCAAGAGAGCUGACAGUACCCGAAGACCCAGUCUGACUGGGUUUAAGGUAAGGUCAGUAAUAAGGGUGAAGUCGUAACAAGGUAACC